UAUGGAUGACCUUUGUGACUUCAUUGAGUCAGUUAAACCAACCUCAGAGGAUGCUGGGAUUCCUUCCACCAAUUAUGAUAAAUGUCUAUUGUGAAUUGAGCAACUGGGGAAGGAUUGUGAAGGGUCUCCUGAAGAAGAUCUUCAUCUGAAGCCUACAACUAAAGUGAAAGAUUCUGUUCCGGAUUAUGCAGAAGGAAUGAAGGACGUACAAAAAUCCCCUUCAGAACAAGAUUCAGAAGUGACAUCAGAGGGAAAGAAAAAAAAUAUUGAAGGAAGUAAAAAUAAACAGCCAGAGGCAAUGCGAUGGAGACCUGCGUGUACGGGAUCUGGCCUGCAGCCUGUCCCCUGGUUCCUGGAGAUCAAUCUCUGACCAUGCGAGGGAAUAGAAUGCCGGUCCUAAGUCACCCGCUGGAGACGCCAUGGCUGGAGGUGUUUCUCGUCUGCCAUCUUGCCUGUGAAUACGGAUCUUGAUGGAGAGGCCACAACCAGAUAUUCAGGACUCCGUGAUAUGCAAAAGUAUGAAGAAAUGUCAAUUAAAGAUGGCAAAGUAGAGUGGAAAAAUAAUCCAGAAUUCACCACAAAGGAGUUCAAGCAGAGUUUUGGUGAAAUAUGUGAAAAACACAAAAUUCCUCCUCGUCCUGAUGAACAGCGUCUGCAAGAUAACUGAGGGAGGAACAAACUAAAAGGAAAUGCCCUCUAGCUUAACAGAUCAUACGCUUGGUUGUGAGGAAAAAUAUGCCUCUAAAGUGCCUGUCUCUGCAGAAGUUCACAAAUUAGACUGUGAAAAUAACAAACCUAACACUGAACAUGUUCUUAACAGAGAUGAGGCGACUUUUUAUACUGUUACAGAAAAUAAUAAUGCAAGUAACUGAGAAGUUGUUGGAGUUGAAAUGAACAAAGACCGAGAGUUGGACGUGCAAUCAACAAAAAACAUGGACCAAAAUACCACUAAUUGGAAAUUAUACCUUCAGAUUGUCCUCAUCAAAGGACAGGGUGCCGGUAACGAGCACAUAAGGUACCACCCCCAAACUCCACAUGUCUAUGAUGGGGCCGUGAUACUUUUUUCCCUCCAAGAUCUCCGGGGCUACGUAGAAAGUGGUCCCGCAAAAGGUCUGCAGUGGAGUGCCCAAAAUCAGUUAUUUUGAUGUUAUACUUCUUGUCAAGUAACAGAUUCUCUGGCUAGAGGGAAAACAUCAAAACAGAAAUAAAAUUUAACCAAAAUAUAAUUAGAACUCUGCA